UACGUAGGCAGCGAGCGUUGUUCGGAGUUACUGGGCGUAAAGAGUGCGUAGGCGGUUUUCUAAGUUUGGUGUGAAAUCUCCCGGCUCAACUGGGAGGGUGCGCCGAAGACUGGAAGGCUUGAGUAUGGGAGAGGUAAGCGGAAUUCCUGGUGUAGCGGUGAAAUGCGUAGAUAUCAGGAGGAACACCUGCGGUGUAGACGGGUUGCUGGGCCGACACUGACGCUGAGGCGCGAAAGCUAGGGGAGCGAACGGG
rnacentral:rRNA from 1 species